AGCCCUGAGGUCCAGUACGUCAGAUUGCAAAUCUGAAGAAGCAGGCUAAUUACCUGCCGGGGCUU
rnacentral:tRNA from 1 species